UACGAAGGGGGCUAGCGUUGCUCGGAAUCACUGGGCGUAAAGCGCACGUAGGCGGAUCUUUAAGUCAGGGGUGAAAUCCUGGAGCUCCAACUCCAGAACUGCCUUUGAUACUGAGGAUCUUGAGUCCGGGAGAGGUGAGUGGAACUCCGAGUGUAGAGGUGAAAUUCGUAGAUAUUCGGAAGAACACCAGUGGCGAAGGCGGCUCACUGGCCCGGUACUGACGCUGAGGUGCGAAAGCGUGGGGAGCAAACAGGG
rnacentral:rRNA from 1 species